GACAUUUGGUAGAGGCUGUUGAGCCCUCCUGGCCCCAGCAGACCCCAGAGACCAGCCACAUUCGCUGGUGCUGGAAUAAGGUCGUUAAUGGUGAAGCCUGGUGCCAGAUGUGU
ensembl:rRNA 5S_rRNA 5S ribosomal RNA